ACGGGUGAGUAACGCGUAGGUAACCUGCCUUGUAGCGGGGGAUAACUAUUGGAAACGAUAGCUAAUACCGCAUAACAAUAGGUGACACAUGUUUUUUAUUUGAAGGGGGCUAUUGCUCCACUACAAGAUGGACCUGCGUUGUAUUAUCUAGGAGGGGAGGUAACGGCUCACCUAGGCGACUAUACAUACCCGACCUGAGAGGGUGAUCGGCCACUCUGGGACUGACACACGGCCCACACUCCUACGGGAGGCAGCAGUAGGGAAUCUUCGGCAAUAGGGGCAACCCUGACCGAGCAACCCCGCGUGAGUGAAGAAGGUUUUCAGAUCGUAAAUCUCUGUUGUAAGUCAAGAACGAGUGUGAGAGUGGAAAGUUCACACUGUGACGGUAGCUUACCAGAAAGGGACGGCUAACUACGUGCCAGCACCCGCGGUAAUACGUAUGUCCCGAGCGUUGUCCGGAUUUAUUGGGCGUAAAGCGAGCGCACGCGGAUUGAUAAGUCUGAAGUUAAACGCUGUGGCUCAACUAUAGUUCGCUUUGGACACUGUCAAUCUUGAGUGCGAAGGGAGAGAGUGGAAUCCCGUGUGUAGCGGAGAAAUGCGUAUAUAUAUGGAAGAACACCUGUGGAGAAAGCGUCUCUGUGGCGUGUAACUGACUCUGAGGCUCGAAAGCGUGGAGAGCACACGAGAUUAGAUACCCU
rnacentral:rRNA from 1 species